rnacentral:piRNA from 1 species
CCACCCCCAAUGAUGCUGCACC